GAGGGCAGUGUUUGGUGUCAAAUGAGCCCUGAAGAUUCUCUGAGUUCCUCUUCAUACCAACUGGUAGAGAUGUAUCAAUUCUCUUAACCACAUGGCAGGACAUGAGACUGUGGCAUGCCCACCAAGGGCAUACAGGGACUCCAAGGAGAAAUCAGACAAGCUUAGGUACAAAGCAAGUCAUAGAAGAUGUCUAAGGAGAGAAGCAGAAUUGUGAAGGAUACCCUUCCCCAAACUAAAACUGCAAGGAAAACUUUAAACCUGCCAUUCCAUGCCCCUUUCUAGAACCCCAUGACAAUGGCAUGCCUUUACUUCUCGGACUUACGUUUUCCAUCCUCUGUACACGGUUUUCCAGCCCUACGAUUUGCCCAUGUUUUUCCUCCAGUUUUUCUGAAAGUAGAUUCAGACUUUCGGUGCUUCCCUUUAAUGCCUGCUCUUUCUCAAGGUUGUUGACCUGUGGUCAGAAAAACAGUUGCUAGACUUCUGUUUUGACUCUUUAUCUAAAACAAAAACCACAAUGUCUUGUAUAUCCAAUUAAAAAAGUGUUUUCUUUUCUUAUCAGAAAAU
rnacentral:lncRNA from 1 species